GGGCCACUGCACAGAGAUGUGUUCCCGACAGAGCUCCGGAGGCUGCCACGAGUCAUCUUCCCAGUCCGGGGGAUGCUGCAGUGGGGGCAGCUCCUCCAGCUACCAGGCACAGGGCUCCUCCUGCUGCGGGGGCUCCUCGGGAUACAGCAUGGGAGGAGGAUACAGCGGUGGCAGUGGGGGAUCGAGCCAGAAGAUCAUCAUUAGCUCAGGAGGAGGAGGAGGAGGUUCGUCUGGAUGCUGUGGUGGAGGAUCCAGCAGUGGUGGGUCUUCAGGAGGCAAGAUAAUCAUUGGAGGAGGUGGAAGUAGUGGGGGAUCCUCUGGGUGCUGCAGUGGAGGCUCCUCGGGCUACGGAAUAGGAGGAGGAUACAGCAGUGGUGGUUACUCGGGAUCCAAGAGCAUCAUUGGAGGAGGUGGGAGCAGUGGGGGAUCCUCUGGGUGCUGCAGUGGAGGCUCCUCGAGCUACGGCAUGGGAGGAGGAUACAGCAGUGGUGGUUACUCAGGCUCCAAGAGCAUCAUUGGAGGAGGUGGAAGCAGUGGUGGAUCCUCUGGUUGCUGUGGUGGGGGAUCCAGCAGUGGUGGGUCUUCAGGUGGCAAGAUCAUAAUUACAGGAGGUGGAAGCAGUGGGGGAUCCUCUGGGUGCUGCAGUGGAGGCUCCUCGGGCUACGGAAUAGGAGGAGGAUACAGCAGUGGUGGUUACUCAGGCUCCAAGAGCAUCAUUGGAGGAGGUGGAAGCAGUGGGGGAUCCUCUGGUUGCUGUGGUGGGGGAUCCAGCAGUGGUGGCUCUUCAGAAGGAAAGAUCAUCAUUACUGGAGGUGGGAGCAGUGGGGGAUCCUCUGGAUGCUGUAGUGGGGGAUCCAGCUAUGGAAUGGGUGGAGGAUCUAGUGGUGGUUAUUCAGGAUCCAAGAGCAUCAUUGGAGGUGGAAGCAGUGGAGGUUCCUCUGGAUGCUGCGGUGGUGGCUCUUCUGGCUAUGGCUCUUCCAGGUAUGGCAGUGGGGGAUCAGGCCAGAAGAUCAUCAUUAGCUCUGGAGGAGGAGGAGGAGGUGGCUCAUCUGGAUGCUGUGGUGGGGGAUCCAGCAGUGGUGGCUCUUCAGGAGGAAAGAUCAUAAUUACAGGAGGUGGAAGCAGUGGGGGAUCCUCUGGGUGCUGCAGUGGAGGCUCCUCGGGCUACGGAAUAGGAGGAGGAUACAGCAGUGGUGGUUACUCGGGAUCCAAGAGCAUCAUUGGAGGAGGUGGAAGCAGUGGUGGAUCCUCUGGUUGCUGUGGUGGAGGAUCCAGCAGUGGUGGGUCUUCAGGAGGAAAGAUCAUAAUUACUGGAGGUGGGAGCAGUGGGGGAUCCUCUGGGUGCUGCAGUGGAGGCUCCUCGGGCUACGGCAUGGGAGGAGGAUACAGCAGUGGUGGUUACUCAGGCUCCAAGAGCAUCAUUGGAGGUGGGAGCAGUGGUGGAUCCUCUGGUUGCUGUGGUGGGGGAUCCAGCAGUGGUGGCUCUUCAGAAGGAAAGAUCAUCAUUACUGGAGGUGGGAGCAGUGGAGGAUCCUCUGGAUGCUGUAGUGGGGGAUCCAGCUAUGGAAUGGGUGGAGGAUCCAGUGGUGGUUAUUCAGGAUCCAAGAGCAUCAUUGGAGGUGGAAGCAGUGGAGGUUCCUCUGGAUGCUGCGGUGGUGGCUCUUCUGGCUAUGGCUCUUCUGGCUAUGGCUCUUCAGGCUAUGGCAGUGGGGGAUCAGGCCAGAAGAUCAUCAUUAGCUCUGGAGGUGGAGGAGGUGGCUCAUCUGGAUGCUGUGGUGGGGGAUCCAGCAGUGGUGGAUCUUCCGGAGGCAAGAUCAUCGUUGGAGGAGGUGGAAGCAGUGGGGGAUCCUCUGGAUGCUGCGGUGGGGGAUCCAGUGGGGGCAGUGGCGGUUCCUCGGGCCACACCAUCAUCAUCAGCUCCGGAGGAGGCAGUGGUGGGUACGGCCAGUCCUCGCAGCAGAAAUGCCCCAUUGUCAUUCCUCACAUCGAGAGCCACCAGACCAAGCAGGCCUGCUACUUUCCUGGCCAGCAGAAGUGACCGCCCCCGACAGCGCAGCACUCAGCAGGAACAGCCCUGCCUCUGUUUUCCAUGUUUGUCUGCUUCCCCACCAUGUGUCCUCUUCUCAAUCCUUGAUGCUCCAUUACUAUGCCAUGAACUCUGGGCUUAACAACCUUUUGCUCCGUGCUGGUGUUGUGAUUUCUUUGGUCAAAUUGUGCUCCAUUUUCAGUAAGGAUUUGUAGUACCUAAUAAAUAUCACGACAUCACAAUGUAGAUUUAUUUUUGAGUUUCUUUUUUUCUUGCUUUCUCACACAGCAUCUCAUCAUCUCAGAAGCAGGAAAUGUAUCUGAUAAGUUA
rnacentral:lncRNA from 1 species